UGGCAGCAGUAGGGAAUCUUCCACAAUGGACGCAAGUCUGAUGGAGCAACGCCGCGUGAGUGAAGAAGGGUUUCGGCUCGUAAAGCUCUGUUGUUAAAGAAGAACGUGGGUGAGAGUAACUGUUCACCCAGUGACGGUAUA
rnacentral:rRNA from 1 species